rnacentral:snRNA from 1 species
UGAGCGAUUGAGUUGUGUGAU